CUUGACUGUAGCUUGGAAUUGGGUUCGGGCUCUUCUUGCGCAGCCUAGGUGGGAGGCGUUGAAGGUUUUCUUUCGGGAAGACUGGAGCCAACAGUGAGAGACCACUCUGGAGGAGCUAGAAUUCUAAUGGCGUUCCUUGAAGCAGGACGCUUGACAGUUUCAGGUGGGCAGUUUGACUGGGGCGGUCACCUCCUAAAAGGUAACGGAGGUGUGCAAAGGUUCCCUCAGGCUGGACGGAAAUCAGCCGUAGAGUGUAAAGGCAGAAGGGAGCUUGACUGCAAGACCUACAAGUCGAGCAGGGGCGAAAGCCGGCCUUAGUGAUCCGACGGUUCCAUGUGGAAGGGCCGUCGCUCAACGGAUAAAAGUUA
rnacentral:rRNA from 1 species